AGAGGCAAAGUCCUCAUGAACCACAAAGAUAGAGUGGAAAAUCCUAAGUAGGAAAAAAUACAUGGAAAAGGGCAAAUGAGCAACAGCAGUGAAUGAGUUGAGAUUGAAAAGGAAAGAGUUCAAGGAAGGAGAGGCAAUGGGGCAAGACAAAAUAAAUCUGAGGAAACAGAGCAAAUAAAAAGUAUGGAGGGAAGCAUCUGUGGGGCCAGGGAAAUGAAUACAUUUUUAAAUGAAAUAGAACCUCCAACACCCCCCCCACAACCACCACACACAAACACACCCACACCCAUAUACACAC
rnacentral:lncRNA from 1 species